rnacentral:rRNA from 1 species
GACGAACGCUGGCGGCGUGCUUAACACAUGCAAGUCGAACGGAAAGGCCUGUCCUUCCUUGUGUUGGACGGGUACUCGAGUGGCGAACGGGUGAGUAACACGUGAGUGAUCUGCCCCCAACUUGGGUAUAAGCCUGGGAAACUGGGUCUAAUUCCCGAUAGGACUGCAGGGUGGUGCCUGUGGUGGAAAACGAUUUUCUAGUGGUUGGGGAUGAGCUCGCGGCCUAUCAGCUUGUUGGUGGGGUAAUGGCCUACCAAGGCGGCGACGGGUAGCCGGCCUGAGAGGGUGGACGGCCACAGUGGGACUGAGAUACGGCCCAGACUCCUACGGGAGGCAGCAGUGGGGAAUAUUGCACAAUGGGCGGAAGCCUGAUGCAGCGACGCCGCGUGGGGGAUGACGGCCUUCGGGUUGUAAACUCCUUUCGACCGCGAGGAAGCCGCCUGGUUGGAAGGGUGGUGACGGUAGUGGUAGAAGAAGCACCGGCUAACUACGUG